rnacentral:rRNA from 1 species
CUACGGGACGCUCCAGUGGGGAAUAUUGCACAAUGGAGGAAACUCUGAUGCAGCAACGCCGCGUGGAGGAUGACACUUUUCGGAGCGUAAACUCCUUUUAUAUAGGAAGAAGAUGACGGUACUAUAUGAAUAAGCGCCGGCUAACUCCGUGCCAGCAGCCGCGGUAAUACGGAGGGCGCAAGCGUUACUCGGAAUCACUGGGCAGUAAAGAGCGUGUAGGCGGAUUAAAAAGUCAGAAGUGAAAUACUAUAGCUUAACUAUAGAACUGCUUCUGAAACUCUUAAUCUAGAAUAUGGGAGAGGUAGAUGGAAUUUCUGGUGUAGGGGUAAAAUCCGUAGAGAUCAGAAGGAAUACCGAUUGCGAAGGCGAUCUACUAGAACAUUAUUGACGCUGAGACGCGAAAGCGUGGGGAGCAAACAGGAUUAGAUACCCUGGUAGUC